rnacentral:rRNA from 1 species
GAUGAACGCUGGCGGCGUGCCUAAUACAUGCAAGUCGAGCGAACAGACGAGGAGCUUGCUCCUCUGACGUCAGCGGCGGACGGGUGAGUAACACGUGGAUAACCUACCUAUAAGACUGGGAUAACUUCGGGAAACCGGAGCUAAUACCGGAUAAUAUAUUGAACCGCAUGGUUCAAUAGUGAAAGACGGUUUUACUGUCACUUAUAGAUGGAUCCGCGCCGCAUUAGCUAGUUGGUAAGGUAACGGCUUACCAAGGCAACGAUGCGUAGCCGACCUGAGAGGGUGAUCGGCCACACUGGAACUGAGACACGGUCCAGACUCCUACGGGAGGCAGCAGUAGGGAAUCUUCCGCAAUGGGCGAAAGCUUGACGGAGCAACGCCGCGUGAGUGAUGAAGGUCUUCGGAUCGUAAAACUCUGUUAUUAGGGAAGAACAAAUGUGUAAGUAACUAUGCACGUCUUGACGGUACCUAAUCAGAAAGCCACGGCUAACUACGUG